UGUGAAGCAGAAUUCACCAAGCGUUGGAUUGUUCACCCAUAAAAAGGGAACGUGAGCUGGGUUUAGACCGUCGCGAGACAGGUUAGUUUUACCCUACUGUUGACAGUUAUUGUCGUUGAUACAGCAGUCCUGCUCAGUACGAGAGGAACGGCAGGUCCGGACAUAUGGUUCCGCUCUUGGUCGAUCGGCCAGUGGAGCGAGGCUACGUCCGUGGGAUUAUGCCUGAAAGCCUCUAAGGCAGAAUCCCGGCUGGAUGACCAACGAUACCGCGUACGGCUUGCAUCGGGAUGGUCACCAUUGAGUUGUAUCGAGAGAUUUGUUCUC
rnacentral:rRNA from 1 species